UAGAUGCAGCAUUUCCUGAUUGAUGACCCCGCUGGGAGUUUGGUAGUCUGUUCUGUUUUGAGUUGCAGCUACAAUACUUUUCUCAUCAGGUCCUGGCAGCGCAAGCCUUGCACUGCAUUUCAAAUUUUGUCAGAAAUGCAAGAUGAUGAAGUGUCAGUAGUCGGACACACUCCACACUUUUCAGGCCCAAUCCCCUUAUGCUUAGCAGAUACUCUCUACAAGAAUUAAUUGUCUUAGCAAUACUGUCAGAGUUUAUCUCGGCAGACUUCUACAAAAUAUUAGAGUGCUCCAGUUCGUUUUAAUCCUUUGACGAGGCUUGGAUUGUAAUUUUUUUUGGUUCAUGGAUCAGUUGAGGCUUACACAGUAUGUAUACAGGUAAGAAAUUUCUUUGACACAACUAUAAUCCUACAGGUUCUAUGAUCCCCCGUGUUCCUCCAUAAAAUGUGCUUAAUGAAUGUCUCCAUGAAAAGCUUUACAGUUUCCAGUUGGGGAGUGCUCCAAUGGUAGAGAGAGGUUUGUGGUUGGAUAUGAGGUUUCUCUACGGUCUUUGUUUAUUGUAAUUUGUGAGAGGGCAGAAGUGGAUACGCAGUAUGUAUGUGAGCUAAAACCUAGCUAAUACGAGGGCUCAACAGUACUUAUGAUAGUUAAUUGUGAAUGAAUAGACAUUGCCAAAUCAAAGAUAUUUCUUGCCCGAAGUUCUUCCAGCUUCCCCACUCUCUAAACCAACAUUCCCAAACUUUCAUUGUACUUCUUUUCAUUAAAAAAAUCAUCAUAAUACUUCUAAUGCCUCAUACUAUAUAUGGCCUCUCUGUAUCAUUGUCUUCUCCUGCAUCCAUUCCUAAAAUAAAUAGACAGCAGGGAAUCUCAAGUGAGAAGUACCCAUGGCAAAAAUGGAACCUUUUUUGACAAUUGAGGUUUGCUACUAUUCCAAUUAAAAAGAAGACAUAAGGGUGCAAAUGCUCUUUAAUGUGAACCAUAAGGCUGAUGAAACACUAUAAAGAUUUUUAAGGCAGGUUUGGUUGCAAAGGGAAUCACUCUUACCAAUGGGUGGGCUGAUUACUAGGAAAGAUUCACCGUAGAAGUCAGAAUGGCUCUAUUUGAGUUCUCUCCAGAAACAAAUUUUGUAUAGAACAUAUAACAACUAGAUGUGUAUAUCUAUAGAGAUUUAGAAAUUUCUGUGGUCUAGUGGUAAAGGGUGGUUACCAGUUACUGAUGGUUCGUUGAAUCCCUCAUCCCUGGCAUAAAAAACUACUUGGAAAUUUCGUUUCCUCCCUGUCUCAGAAUCUGGGUGGCGGUUUCGGGAUAGCCGAUGAUUGAGUUAUAUUACUAUCCUAAUAGGUCUGCUGCAUGUCAAUCAUGCAUUUAUGCAACAAAAUAAUCUGUCAUCUAUGUAUUUCAGUAACGAGAGGUACCAAGCCAAUUUUUGGAAAAUUGUA